CUACACGAAGAACCUUACCUGGGUUUGACAUAUAGGUUGUAGGGAACUGAAAAGGGACCGACCCUUCGGGGAGCCUAUACAGGUGUUGCAUGGCUGUCGUCAGCUCGUGUCGUGAGAUGUUCGGUUAAGUCCGCUAACGAGCGCAACCCUCGUCGUAUGUUAUAUGUGUCAUACGAGACUGCCGGUAAAAGCCGGAGGAAGGUGAGGAUGAUGUCAAGUCAGCAUGACCUUUAUAUCCAGGGCUACACACACGCUACAAUGGUCUGUACAAUGGGUAGCCAAGCCGCGAGGCGGAGCCAAUCCUGAAAGCAGGCCUCAGUUCAGAUUGCAGUCUGCAACUCGACUGCAUGAAGCCGGAGUUGCUAGUAACCGCAGGUCAGCAAUACUGCGGUGAAUACGUUCCCGGGUCUU
rnacentral:rRNA from 1 species